rnacentral:rRNA from 1 species
UACGUAGGGAGCAAGCGUUAUCCGGAUUUAUUGGGCGUAAAGGGAACGCAGGCGGUCUUUUAAGUCUGAUGUGAAAGCCUUCGGCUUAACCGGAGUAGUGCAUUGGAAACUGGGAGACUUGAGUGCAGAAGAGGAGAGUGGAACUCCAUGUGUAGCGGUGAAAUGCGUAGAUAUAUGGAAGAACACCAGUGGCGAAAGCGGCUCUCUGGUCUGUAACUGACGCUGAGGUUCGAAAGCGUGGGUAGCAAACAGG